ACAAAGCAAUUAGUAAAUUAGUAUGUUAGUGAAUAAAUGAAUACUUUUUUAGGCACCUACCCUGUGCCAAACACUUUAGUAGGAGCUGGGGGGACCAUAGUGAGCAAGGCAGACAUGUGACCCCUAUUGUGGUGGAGCUCAAAGUCCUGUCAGUCAGAAAAUCGUUAACACAUAAUUGAACAGGUCAUGAAUCAUGAGUAUGAUAAGUAUUAUAAAGGACAAAUACAGGAUAUGAUAAGAUCAAGAAGGCUUCCCUAAGGAAAUGACUUUUACACUAAGACAGUAAGUUAUCUGUACUAAUGAUGGGGGACAGAGGCAGAGAUAAUCUAAAAAUGGUGUCUAAUCUAAAAUUUAUUUCCUAUUUUUGUAUUGCAAUCUCUAUGUAUUCAUAGUCCAUUUAAACCUCAGCCAGUUCCCUUCACCUUGUACCUUCCCCUUUUUUGUUCUUCCUAGACAUACUGUCAAGACAGCAAUCUAUGAUAUGCUUUGAUAUUCCAGGAAAGAAAGUGUGAUUACAGUAUUCUCUGAUUAGAGUGUUAAACUCUGGGCUAAGAUAAAAGAAAAGCCAGGAAGAUUAUGACCAAGUGACUAAAUUACCAUCUCAAAUGCAUAUUAUGUUUGAGAAGUUGGGAGGAUCUGAGGUUCAGAGAAAAUGAACUUGAACUGGAACCACACAGUAAAGGCAGCUUUUGAUUUUCUGCCACCAGUUGACUCAUCACCAGGGAGAAACAGAGGAAAGAUCAGGGGAAAACUUGUG
rnacentral:lncRNA from 1 species